rnacentral:rRNA from 1 species
CCAGCACCCCGAGUGGUCGGGACGAUUAUUGGGCCUAAAGCAUCCGUAGCCGGUCUUGCAAAUCCUCCGUUAAAUCCAGCUGCUCAACAGAUGGGCUGCGGAGGAUACUACAAGGCUAGGAGGCGGGAGAGGCAAGCGGUACUCAGUGGGUAGGGGUAAAAUCCUCUGAUCCAUUGAAGACCACCAGUGGCGAAGGCGGCUUGCCAGAACGCGCUCGACGGUGAUGGAUGAAAGCUGGGGGAGCAAACCGGAUUAGAUACCCGGGUAGUCCCAGCUGUAAACGAUGCAGACUCGGUGAUGGGCCGGCUUUAUGCCAGCUCAGUGCCGCAGGGAAGCCGUUAAGUCUGCCGCCUGGGGAGUACGGUCGCAAGACUG